GCCUAAUACAUGMAGUCGAGCGGMAGAUGGGAGCUUGCUCCUGAUGUYAGCGGCGGACGGGUGAGUAACACGUGGGUAACCUGCCUGUAAGACUGGGAUAACUCCGGGAAACCGGGGCUAAUACCGGAUGCUUGAUUGAACCGCAUGGUUCAAUUAUAAAAGGUGGCUUUUAGCUACMACUUACAGAUGGACCCGCGGCGCAUUAGCUAGUUGGKGAGGUAACGGCUCACCAAGGCAACGAUGCGUAGCCRACCUGAGAGGGUGAUCGGCCACACUGGGACUGARACACGGCCCARAYUCYUACGGGAGGCAGCAGUAGGGAAUCUUCCGCAAUGGACGAAAGUCUGACGGAGCAMCGCCGCGUGAGUGAUGAAGGUUUUCGGAUCGUAAAACUCUGUUGUUAGGRAAGAACAAGUACCGUUCGAAUAGGGCGGUACCUUGACGGUACCUAACCAGAAAGCCACGGCUAACUACGUGCCAGCAGC
rnacentral:rRNA from 1 species